AUUUGAGAUUCAGAGUGAAAACGCCCCACAUAAAAAACGCCCGGAAAUCCGGGCGUUUUUGU
rnacentral:sRNA from 1 species